GGUUAAGCGACUAAGCGUACACGGUGGAUGCCCUGGCAGUCAGAGGCGAUGAAGGACGUGCUAAUCUGCGAUAAGCGUCGGUAAGGUGAUAUGAACCGUUAUAACCGGCGAUUUCCGAAUGGGGAAACCCAGUGUGUUUCGACACACUAUCAUUAACUGAAUCCAUAGGUUAAUGAGGCGAACCGGGGGAACUGAAACAUCUAAGUACCCCGAGGAAAAGAAAUCAACCGAGAUUCCCCCAGUAGCGGCGAGCGAACGGGGAGCAGCCCAGAGCCUGAAUCAGUGUGUGUGUUAGUGGAAGCGUCUGGAAAGGCGCGCGAUACAGGGUGACAGCCCCGUACACAAAAAUGCACAUGCUGUGAGCUCGAUGAGUAGGGCGGGACACGUGGUAUCCUGUCUGAAUAUGGGGGGACCAUCCUCCAAGGCUAAAUACUCCUGACUGACCGAUAGUGAACCAGUACCGUGAGGGAAAGGCGAAAAGAACCCCGGCGAGGGGAGUGAAAAAGAACCUGAAACCGUGUACGUACAAGCAGUGGGAGCACGCUUAGGCGUGUGACUGCGUACCUUUUGUAUAAUGGGUCAGCGACUUAUAUUCUGUAGCAAGGUUAACCGAAUAGGGGAGCCGAAGGGAAACCGAGUCUUAACUGGGCGUUAAGUUGCAGGGUAUAGACCCGAAACCCGGUGAUCUAGCCAUGGGCAGGUUGAAGGUUGGGUAACACUAACUGGAGGACCGAACCGACUAAUGUUGAAAAAUUAGCGGAUGACUUGUGGCUGGGGGUGAAAGGCCAAUCAAACCGGGAGAUAGCUGGUUCUCCCCGAAAGCUAUUUAGGUAGCGCCUCGUGAAUUCAUCUCCGGGGGUAGAGCACUGUUUCGGCAAGGGGGUCAUCCCGACUUACCAACCCGAUGCAAACUGCGAAUACCGGAGAAUGUUAUCACGGGAGACACACGGCGGGUGCUAACGUCCGUCGUGAAGAGGGAAACAACCCAGACCGCCAGCUAAGGUCCCAAAGUCAUGGUUAAGUGGGAAACGAUGUGGGAAGGCCCAGACAGCCAGGAUGUUGGCUUAGAAGCAGCCAUCAUUUAAAGAAAGCGUAAUAGCUCACUGGUCGAGUCGGCCUGCGCGGAAGAUGUAACGGGGCUAAACCAUGCACCGAAGCUGCGGCAGCGACGCUUAUGCGUUGUUGGGUAGGGGAGCGUUCUGUAAGCCUGCGAAGGUGUGCUGUGAGGCAUGCUGGAGGUAUCAGAAGUGCGAAUGCUGACAUAAGUAACGAUAAAGCGGGUGAAAAGCCCGCUCGCCGGAAGACCAAGGGUUCCUGUCCAACGUUAAUCGGGGCAGGGUGAGUCGACCCCUAAGGCGAGGCCGAAAGGCGUAGUCGAUGGGAAACAGGUUAAUAUUCCUGUACUUGGUGUUACUGCGAAGGGGGGACGGAGAAGGCUAUGUUGGCCGGGCGACGGUUGUCCCGGUUUAAGCGUGUAGGCUGGUUUUCCAGGCAAAUCCGGAAAAUCAAGGCUGAGGCGUGAUGACGAGGCACUACGGUGCUGAAGCAACAAAUGCCCUGCUUCCAGGAAAAGCCUCUAAGCAUCAGGUAACAUCAAAUCGUACCCCAAACCGACACAGGUGGUCAGGUAGAGAAUACCAAGGCGCUUGAGAGAACUCGGGUGAAGGAACUAGGCAAAAUGGUGCCGUAACUUCGGGAGAAGGCACGCUGAUAUGUAGGUGAAGUCCCUUGCGGAUGGAGCUGAAAUCAGUCGAAGAUACCAGCUGGCUGCAACUGUUUAUUAAAAACACAGCACUGUGCAAACACGAAAGUGGACGUAUACGGUGUGACGCCUGCCCGGUGCCGGAAGGUUAAUUGAUGGGGUCAGCGCAAGCGAAGCUCUUGAUCGAAGCCCCGGUAAACGGCGGCCGUAACUAUAACGGUCCUAAGGUAGCGAAAUUCCUUGUCGGGUAAGUUCCGACCUGCACGAAUGGCGUAAUGAUGGCCAGGCUGUCUCCACCCGAGACUCAGUGAAAUUGAACUCGCUGUGAAGAUGCAGUGUACCCGCGGCAAGACGGAAAGACCCCGUGAACCUUUACUAUAGCUUGACACUGAACAUUGAGCCUUGAUGUGUAGGAUAGGUGGGAGGCUUUGAAGUGUGGACGCCAGUCUGCAUGGAGCCGACCUUGAAAUACCACCCUUUAAUGUUUGAUGUUCUAACGUUGACCCGUAAUCCGGGUUGCGGACAGUGUCUGGUGGGUAGUUUGACUGGGGCGGUCUCCUCCUAAAGAGUAACGGAGGAGCACGAAGGUUGGCUAAUCCUGGUCGGACAUCAGGAGGUUAGUGCAAUGGCAUAAGCCAGCUUGACUGCGAGCGUGACGGCGCGAGCAGGUGCGAAAGCAGGUCAUAGUGAUCCGGUGGUUCUGAAUGGAAGGGCCAUCGCUCAACGGAUAAAAGGUACUCCGGGGAUAACAGGCUGAUACCGCCCAAGAGUUCAUAUCGACGGCGGUGUUUGGCACCUCGAUGUCGGCUCAUCACAUCCUGGGGCUGAAGUAGGUCCCAAGGGUAUGGCUGUUCGCCAUUUAAAGUGGUACGCGAGCUGGGUUUAGAACGUCGUGAGACAGUUCGGUCCCUAUCUGCCGUGGGCGCUGGAGAACUGAGGGGGGCUGCUCCUAGUACGAGAGGACCGGAGUGGACGCAUCACUGGUGUUCGGGUUGUCAUGCCAAUGGCACUGCCCGGUAGCUAAAUGCGGAAGAGAUAAGUGCUGAAAGCAUCUAAGCACGAAACUUGCCCCGAGAUGAGUUCUCCCUGAC
rnacentral:rRNA from 1 species